CUCUUGCUCCCUCUUUUUGUUCUCAACAUUGCUUUCUUGAACAUGGUAUUCAUACGGAUCUUCUUCGAGGUUGGUUGUCAGAGAAGCAAUGUCGAGUAACAGGUUUAAGAAAGCUGUGGACAAACAUGAAAAAAAUCAUAAAAACAAACAUAACGCAGCAUGGCGGGUUCGAAGGCGAUGUCAUAAGAACGGCAUCCGUUCUUAUUUUUCGGGUUGAUUAUUUGAAGGUAUUUGCUCAGUGGUGCCACUACCUCAUUGGUUUUACAGUUCCCCAUGAAGUGGUAAUGGAUGUGCAAUGGUACAGGACUCGGCCAAGUUUACUUGAGCUCGCGUGUAACUCAGCCUCCUCAGCCAGCUGUGGGUUUUGAGGUAAAAAAUAUUAUAAAACAGAAAAAUACAUAAAAACAAAUAUGGAGAACACUAUUAUAUUAGUUAGAAUUAAGCUUUUCGAUGAUUGUGAUAA